UUGCCCUCCUAUUUCCGUGCCACUCAUUCUUUUGUCCAUAUCCAUUUCUCUAUUCCCCGUUAGGCGAUUAUCAGGAACUGCGCAGCUGGAGUGGAAAGAGAGUCGUUUCCAUGACUUUUACAGGAUACAAAGGGAGAUGCCAUUAAACAAUGGAAUAGAUGCAAACUCUGAAAUAUUCACUGAAAGCAAAGGAGUCAGGCGUAUUUUAGAGUUACAGAGGGUCCUCCACACAGCUUGUGUCGUCCAUGGUGUAUAUGAAGACUCUUCUCUUGUUUUGACACACGGACUAAGACUUCCUCUGGUCUGGAGCCAGGACUUCCUAUGACACACAAGCAGGGGAUUGAACGUUGUGAUUCAACAUUACCCUCAUCAUGGGUUUUUCAGGGUAUAGUCUGGCUACUGGCUACUUCUAUUUUGGAUACUAUGCUUUCUGAGUAUACUUCCAGUGUUCACAUAUAAACCCACCAGAACUAAACUAAUUUUUAUAAAAG
rnacentral:lncRNA from 1 species